AAAACACUAAAUCUUAAAUCUACACCCUAAAUAUAAUACCCUAAACCCCAAACUUAAACACUACAUACAAAGUCAUACUAAAUCUAAUCUUUUCAAAUAAUAUAAUUACUAAACUAAAAUCUAUUCCUUGUAGAAAUUACAACUUUAUUAAUUUAUUUUUUUCAAAUAUUUAUCUUAAAUUUUAGCUUAACCAUAAUUCCAUUUCACAAAUCUCAAACCAUAUACUUUAAACUCAAUCACAACUAUAUAAACUAAUAGUCAACAAUUAUAACAUUAGUUAAUAGAUUUAUAAAACUAAACUUAUAUGUAUUAAUUUUAAAUUUUAAUUUAAUUUCAAAUAUCAAUUUUAAAAAUUAUAAACCAAAAUUUCAAAAUAUUUAAAAUAUUUAAAAUAGUACAGAAAAAGAUUACAAAAAAUGGUUUGCUAUUAAAAAAGAAAAGAAAAACUAUGGGCUAAUCAACUAUCAUCACGCAGAUAACCUUCUGCACCGUAGGAUACAAUUAAAUGAAUGGUUGAGAUUUUUUUUUCUUUUUCUCUUUUUUCUCUUUUUUCUCUUAUCCUCACAGAUCUCUUUUCUCUCCAUCUCUCUUCCAUCGACAAAUCUCUCUUCCAUCUUCUAUUUUCAGAUUUCAUCUCCUCUGUCUUUAUCCUUAAUCAUCUCACACACACCUCUCUCUCUCUCUCUCUCUCUCUCUCUCUCUCUCUCUCUCUCUCUUUACUCUCCUAACCUCACUCACGAACACGAUUCAUGUCACACAGACAUGUUUCUGUGUCUCAGUCUUGUAAUCUUUCUCUCACAUACAACACAUCUCAAAAAAGCAGAUUCUUCAAACCACGGCUGGAGGAGGAGGACGACGACGACCGCUGGGUCGAUUAACCACAUGAGAGGUUGGAGAAAAUGAUGGUACAUCCGCUCGUCACAACCACCACCACCAUUGCUUCUCAGAUCCAUUUUCGUCGGUCUCCUUCUUCUUUUCUCUCUCUCGCACUCUCUUUCUCUCUGCUCUUAGUUUAAGAAGGUGGAGGAGGCUGAAGAAACUUGAUGGUGUUUGUCUCGACGUCAACAGUUGUGGCGUCAACAGUGGUGGUCUCCGCGUCGACAAUGGUGGCUGAGAGCAGUGGAGGAGACUGAAGAGGCUUUACUGUGGUGGUCGUGGCUGGUGGUCGUGGCUGGUGGUCUCAGCGUCAACAAGGAGUGCGGCGGAGAUUGAAGAAGAACAUGGUUUAGUUAGGUUUAGUUAGGUUUUGUUAGGGUUAGUUAAUAAACCGGGUUUGUAUGUAAACUGGUUUUUGUAAUAAACCGAUAUCAUCUGUAAACCAAAAUUUUAAUAAUAAAUAACUUUAUUCUCAAA